rnacentral:rRNA from 1 species
GAUGAACGCUAGCGACAGGCCUAACACAUGCAAGUCGAGGGGCAGCAUGAAAUUAGCUUGCUAAUUUUGAUUGCGACCGGCGCACGGGUGAGUAACACGUAUGCAACCUGCCUGUAAGCGGGUGAUAACCCUGAGAAAUCUGGACUAAUACCGCAUAAUAUCACGGUUUCGCAUGUUAUUGUGAUUAAUGAUUUAUUUCUUACAGAUGGACAUGCGUCUGAUUAGCUAGUUGGCGGGGUAACGGCCCACCAACAGGACGAUCAGUAGGGGUCCGAAGAGAAAGGUCCCCCACAUUGGAACUGAAACACGGUCCAAACCCCUACGGGAGGCAGCAGUGGGGAAUAUUGGUAAAUGGACGAGAGUCUGAACCAGCCAUGUCGCGUGAAGGCCGACGGUCCUAUGGAUUGUAAACUUCUUUUAUAUGGGAAUAAAGUGUGGGACGUGUCCCAUUUUGUAUGUACCAUUAUGAAUAAGCAUCGGCUAACUCCGUGCCAGCCGCCGCCGUAAUAC